CACGUAGUUAGCCGUGGCUUCCUCCUCCCUUACCGUCAUUAUCGUCAGGGAAGACAGAGCUUUAACAACCCGAAGGCCUUCAUCGCUCACGCGGCGUCGCUGCGUCAGGGUUUCCCCCAUUGCGCAAUAUUCCCCACUGCUGCCUCCCGUAGGAGUCUGGGCCGUGUCUCAGUCCCAGUGUGGCCGACCACCCUCUCAGGCCGGCUACCCGAUCGUCGCCUUGGUGAGCCAUUACCUCACCAACUAGCUAAUGGGCCGCGGGCCCAUCCUUGAGCGGAAUUAACCUUUGGCUAAGACGCCAUGCGGCAUCUUAGCGUUAUGCGGUAUUAGCAGGCCUUUCGACCUGUUAUCCCCCGUCUCAAGGGCAGGUUACCCACGUGUUACUCACCCGUCGCCGCUAAGGUUCAAGAGUAAACUUCUCUCCCUCGCUCGACUUGCAUGUGUUAGGCACGCCGCCAGCGUCUCUGUAGCCACGGAGUCAACUAC
rnacentral:rRNA from 1 species